rnacentral:rRNA from 1 species
CCCUUUUAGAGUUUGGAAUCAUGGCUCAGAACGAACGCUGGCGGCAGGCUUAACACAUGCAAGUCGAACGCAUCCUUCGGGGUGAGUGGCAGACGGGUGAGUAACGCGUGGGAACGUGCCCUUCAGUUCGGAAUAACCCAGGGAAACUUGGGCUAAUACCGGAUACGUGCGAGAGCAGAAAGAUUUAUCGCUGAAGGAUCGGCCCGCGUCUGAUUAGCUAGUUGGUGGGGUAAUGGCCCACCAAGGCGACGAUCAGUAGCUGGUCUGAGAGGAUGAUCAGCCACAUUGGGACUGAGACACGGCCCAAACUCCUACGGGAGGCAGCAGUGGGGAAUAUUGGACAAUGGGCGCAAGCCUGAUCCAGCCAUGCCGCGUGAGUGAUGACGGCCUUAGGGUUGUAAAGCUCUUUCGUCCGGGACGAUAAUGACGGUACCGGAAGAAGAAGCCCCGGCUAACUUCGUGCCAGCAGCCGCGGUAAUACGAAGGGGGCUAGCGUUGUUCGGAAUCACUGGGCGUAAAGGGCGCGUAGGCGGCUUUGUAAGUCGGGGGUGAAAGCCUGUGGCUCAACCACAGAAUUGCCUUCGAUACUGCAUGGCUUGAGACCGGAAGAGGUUAGUGGAACUGCGAGUGUAGAGGUGAAAUUCGUAGAUAUUCGCAAGAACACCAGUGGCGAAGGCGGCUGACUGGUCCGGAUCUGACGCUGAGGCGCGAAAGCGUGGGGAGCAAACAGGAUUAGAUACCCUGGUAGUCCACGCCGUAAACGAUGAAUGCCAGCCGUUGGGCAGCUUGCUGCUCAGUGGCGCAGCUAACGCUUUAAGCAUUCCGCCUGGGAGACGCCAUC